rnacentral:tRNA from 1 species
GCCGUGGUCAACGAUGUCGACCGUCCUCCUAACUAAAGCGGGUGUCGGCAGUUCGAUUCUGCCCGGGGGCACCA